ensembl:lncRNA
UUAUGUUGGUGGUACUAGAAUCUCAGUCGAAAACAUCAAAAUUCCAAAGGCAUAGUGGAACCAAAACCGUAAAUAACUUAUGCAUACGGUAGUAAUUCCAUAAAUGCAUCUGUUUCUUGAACCCAUGUCAGGUUCCCCAAACGAUAGUUAAAAGGAGCAGAAUGCCAAAACCUCAGCUGAGAAGUGAUAUUUGACAUUGCAGCCUCCAACGCUAUCUUUCAGACGCUAAAAUAAAACAGAUAAAUAUGGAGGGGGAGGCUGGCCUCCCCAUGGAGCCUCCUGUCUCCAGGCAAGUUCUCUGCUGUUUGAUGGAGCUCAACAGACAGGUUUCUCCAUCGAUGCCACAGAACAUCGGAGGCAACAACUAUACUGCAUCUCCACUCACGGUCUCCCAAAUCUGUCACAGUGGACCAAAAACCCAGGGAAUUCCACCUUCUCUGUGUUUAAAAAGGUCUAAGAGGAGUAUGGAUCUGUGCCUCGAGCGUGAGUUUGGGGUCUACGGACGCACAGUCCAUUGCGUCAACAGGGUGUAAAAUACACACAUAAACAAUAGCCUAGAAUGUACACCAAUUUUGCUGGGCUGCAGUGCGAUAAAAAAAAAUGAGUGUAAAAAUGUUUCAAGUAUCUGACAUCUUCUAACCUCUCACGUGUCUGGUUUGAUUAGCCCAAGUGCGUUCACUGUACAACCACCACCACUCUUGUCAGACAUUCAGUGAAUGAAUUAAUCUUCAUGGUGACAAGGGCGAGGACUCCUACGAGAACCAAAGUGCAGUAUUGAUCACCUUAAAAUCCAAAUGUAGUUUCCAUCUCGUUUGACUGAAAUUGCAUUUUAUUACACUCUGUUGUGUCUCAGUGUACGCUAGUUUAGAUUGAAGUACACCGCACAAGCAGAAUUCUCCUUGUAAUGAGAUGGACACACGGACAACCUUUAUUCUAACCUUUGUAAAGAACGCCCAGGUAAUAAAAGUACAGUGUCAGUUUUGGACACCAACACUUUACUGUGAUCAAAAUGGCAGUUGACAUAAUAGCAGUUUAUUGAUACAAAGAGACAUACACAAAAUACAGGAUCGGUGAAAUCUUUGAAACAAAACUCAGACGAUCCCCUCUUUGUAUAGCCAAGAGGGUGUGAUAAUAUCUCACUAAAUUACUGACCUUUCAUCAAAGCAUGUUUAUCUGGUAUAAAUCAGCCCAGGCUUGUUUUUAUUUUUAGUUUGGCGCUACACCCUAGGUCAACCAAAAGGUGGGUUGCUCUUCUGCAUUCCACAAGAACAGUUGAAUGCAACUACCUUGUCCCCUCUCUCAGUUACAAAUCCAUUAGCACAUCUGGCAUUUUUCUACUGGCUAAUCACACAGACUUUUCCAUCAGCCCAUUACCUAACUAGUAAUUCUACAACCUUCUACAACACUCCCGAUGUUUGUUGUCUGUGUACCUUUAUAAACUAACUCAUGCAGCCAGUGAUUUAAAUUAAUUCCUCCCAGAGGUCUGGCGAUAGUUGAUCCAUGAAAUUAGCAACAGGUGUCAGGGCCCUGAGGAGAGGAUUACUGUAAGACCAAGAAUGCAGAUGUAUAUAGCGCUACAAACAUGAAGCCAUAAAACAAUGUUAGAAUAAUUUCUAAAUGACUUUGUGAUUAAAAAGACCAGAACGAAGUAUUAAAUGCAACAUUAAUUUGACAUUCUGUGUUAAUGCUAUGCCAACACUGAUGUGUCCUUCUACACAAUGAUGUAAAUAGUAGGCUGUACAAAUGCUAUGCUAAUGCCAUGCUAAUGCUAUGCUAAAAUCUACUUCUGUAUUACAAUAAGGUAAAUAGUAGGCUGUACUAAUGCUAUGCUAAUGCCAUGCUAAUGCUAUGCUAACAUCUACUUCUAUAUUACAAUAAGGUAAAUAGUAGGCUGCCCCAGCCGGGCUGCAAUGAGAGGAAUCUCUAACUGGGCAAAUACAGAGUUCGCGAGGCCUCUGGGCUCCACUGUAACUUUGAUUAACUGC